rnacentral:tRNA from 9 species
GCGGUGGCUCAAUUGGUAGAGCAGCGGUCUCCAAAACCGCAGGUUGCAGGUUCGAGUCCUGUCCGCC